rnacentral:snoRNA from 1 species
AUCCCUUUGUAGGUUCCUAAAAUGAGAUGAUUGGGUGUUCACAUGCAUGGGUGAGAUAUGCCACCCUUGAAUUUUGUUAUGACAUCAGUACAUUUCCCAUAUGCCA